AAAUGGUUAAGGGACAAAGAUCGAACACUUCAAAUGUCCAAACAGAGUUACAAGACUCGAACGACGCAGUUACUAGUAGUGAAAUAUUGUCUGAUCGUGUAAUGAACUCGAAACUAUCUAGAGAAGAGUCAAUAGGAAAGAGAAAAGGACUUAGAAUAGAACUUCGAUGGGAUAAUUAAUUUUUUGCCAUUUGCAAACAUUAGAAGUUAGUCACUGUAGGUACAAGCGGCAGUGCUGCGGAAGCGACCAAAGCCCAGACCUGGGAAACAAGCCGCGCGGAGCAAGAUCAUCAUCAGGAUGAAAUAGCUAUCAUAAGUGAAUGUCGGCAAAAAUAGAAAUAAAAACAAUACCCAGUUCCAGUGGCAGUUCUUUCGAAAGCCAAGUGAAAAUUAGUACGAAGCUACCUGCCAAUUGUGCACACGGGAAUCGCAGUGGUCGGCUUGUGGGAACUUCGGCCUGUUAGGUGCGACCAACGAAAGCAUCAUCAAAAUGCUACGAGAGACAAUCUGGCACCAUGGCCUACCCCACGAAAAUAGAACCUCUUCAGUGCACUAAUGCAUUUCGAUACGAAUGACCGCCUUCGUGUAUAGAGCCAGUGUUGGAAGCCAUGUUUACGGUACUCUUUGUUGGUUUAGAGGUAUUCGGAGUCAUCGUCGAUGAAGGCUAAUACUGUGUAUAAAGUGUUACCUCCCGCCGGAAUGAACGUGCUUCAUGGGCUUCUAUAGGAUAAGACGGAGUUGGUGGGGAACUCAGUGAAGUUUGAGUGUUAUCUUCAUACAAAAAGUUUUGCGGGAGCUAAAUUGAAAUUGCAAAUCCGCCAGUAACCGUAUGUACGCUAAAUGGGCCUUAAUGUUUUGAGCUCUCCGCUUGCAACUGCCUUCGGUUCUGCCCCUUUUCCAGCACAAAAACGCGUGUCUUCGCUCUAUGUCAAAUUCAGGCCGCAUCAUUUUGUAUAUAGUAAUGGGACACGUCACUAACUACUAUCACGACCACAACCGCUUCAAGAUGAUGUACAGCGUUAAUGGGAGAGCAAGUUACCAAUGCAUUGCCAGUGGGUCAAUCUGCAUAGAACUUGACGAACCCUAACUUACCUAAAAAAAUAACCUCUUAGAAAGAUUGUCUGCGCAAUGGUAGGGCAAAGGCUUCUACUGUAUCUGCCGUUAAUUGAUGUAGCAUGAAAUGUUCUCGGUGGAGUUUAACGUCACGCAACGGUUCCCCGCUAAUCGUUACCUGUCGACAUCUGUCCCUAAGAUGGGCCGAUCAUUGGAACCUCGAGACAUUCGUUAGGGGGUUACCCAGUGCAAAAUACCUUCCCGGCAGAAGGGUUACUGCUGCAAGUACUCCUGAAGGGCGUCGCCUGCUCCUCCUAAUGUGAUCGGAUGCACCUGAAAAGGGAGGCGUGAUUGAUCACAUCAUCAGAGUCGCGAUCUGAGCAGUCUCGAAGGGAGAGACCGGGAAGGAGUCAGGGGCUGUGAUAGUGGGUUAAUAUAUGGAGAUGGAGUGUGAGGUACAAAGAAUGGAAAAUGGUGCCAGUAAAAAAGAAACACAAACGAGAAGCUGCUAGAGUUUUUGCGGAUAUGUAAUUGACGCAAAUGUCGUUGCGAUACCGAUGAGUUUGACUGUGUCUGCAAGAGCUAGAUAGAUGAGGAAAAACCAAGCGUAAGAACACCUAGUGAGCUAUGAAUCUAGAUUUCGAACAAGAUAUAAUCACGUAGUUAAACAGUAGCACUAGAAAGAGCCGUCAGCCGUCUGGGAUAGGUAAGCUAAUAAUCCCAACGUAUUUGCCUAGAUAGCGGAACAUAGAACGGAGCGAGUUUAACGUUAGUCUUCAUGGCCGACAUUGUAAAGACUAUUGUCUAACUAUUAGAGUAGCAUGUUUAUAUUUGCUAUCACUGCUCUCUUACCAUACGUAGCGUUUUGUCAAAUACAAUGAGCUACUUAGGUGUUUUAUUGCGUGGAGCAUUGACUUCUUGAUUGGUGUCGGUCCGCAUCGUAAACACACAGUGCACAGGCAGUAGUAAAGGUGCUCACUGUUGUCUAUUAGGUCUUCAAUAAUUUUUAUAUUACCACCUGAA
rnacentral:lncRNA from 1 species